AAGCCAGGCUCUGUCUCAACAGAAAAAUAAAUAGAUUACCGCAGAGCAACUUCAGCCUGUAACCAGCUAGCUUUCUAGAUGUAGAAGUAGCUUCGUAAUGGUGAAAUGCGCCAUGCAAACCUUUCAACCACCAUUCCAGUAUGUUCCCAGUCACCUGGAAUUACAAAUAGAAUCUACAUUAUCAUGAAGAAAAUUAUACGGUAACCAUUGAUAAUAUUACAUCACCAGCUGGUCACAUGACCUCGUCAUGCAUCAUCAUCCGCCGCCAUUUUGUGUAAGCAGUAUGCAUCGGAGGCAGAAAAUUUAUUCAAGCUCUGAAGUCCCAAACAACUGAAAAUGCUCCAAAACACCAUCACGUGACCCUGGUAUUCUCAAAGUGCUGGUGAAAGUGUUUGUUUUGUAGGCCUAAAUGUUUGUUGAUAGUAGAGAGGCGGACUGAUAGACUUUAUAACAAGUCAUGAUCAACAUUCCCCAACUGUUAGUUAAUUACACUGGUCAGUCUACAUCUGUAUUGUUUCUUUGCAACCUGUCAACAAACUCAAAUUUAUCCAUUUAUACCUGAAUAAUUGUGUUGUCAUAUUUUAAGAUGAUGACUAGGCCUACAGCAUCUAACUAACUGUAAUCCUCUGAUAACUAAAUGUCUGAAGGCAAAAUACCAUUUUAUUGAUGAAUAUAUCUCCAUUUAACUCAUACAGAUUAGUGUAGGGUGUAAUGUUGGAAUGUUUUUGUUGACAGUAGCAGGCACUACAUCUGCCUAUGAGCAAAUGGACAGAACUGAGAAUACCUUAUCAUGAACCGUAGUGAACACUGCUGGAAACAUCCUGUUUUAGGAUCGUUUUCUUCACAUACAAGCCCCACCAGUGCAGUUGGCACACAACAGCAUCCCUCCUGAUCAAAUGAAAAGGAAUCCUAUGACACCGCUUGAUCUUUGUCUGACAUGGAAAUCUGCAAAUCAAAUAAGGUGGAAGAAUAACAUCUGGUUAAAAAAUUUAUGUGGAAAAAUAUCUGCUUUAAAGUGAUGUCAUGAACUGGAUGCUGCACUCUUGAUUCCAACACUAAUAUUGUCAUGACCAAAUGUUAAAGUUCAUAUUCAGCAAGUUGAAGAUAACUGACACCAUCUUUAAGUAUAAGUUGCACAAAUAUGGUAUUCAGAAGUUUUUUGUUUACACUACUGAUGUAUAUAUAGUAUAAAAAAAUGGAUUUCUGUAAUAGAAUAAAGUAUUGGAAUACA